AAGAGUGUCGACAAAAAAAAAAACAGAACAAACAAAUAAACACGGAUGUCAAACUCUUCUCACUUAACUUUACCUUUAAUCUGUGGUUCAGGUUUUUUUGUUGGGCUCUCUUUAAUAUUCUUGACCCCAUAAUAAUAUCCAAAUCAAGAAGAUGAUUCUUGCUCAUGUGUUGAUGAGAGCGUAAAAGAAACAGACAUCGAAGCUUCUCUUACAACGAUGGCGUCUAUUUUCAGACCUUCAGUUUCACUUGAUCUACGACCAAAGGUGGCUUGCACGAAUCAUCACUCAACGAUAGAACGAUUUGACUUUCGGAAGAACAAGAAUCUGAGAAAAGAUAAGGCUCAAUGGUAGCUUGAAGGCUAAUCAAGCACAAGGGUCAGCUGAAGGGAUCCGUGUGGUACAAGAGAAAGAGGUUUGCAAUCAAACCGGUAACUAAACCGAGUUCUCCUCAACAUAGUUUUCGGAUUAAUGUUACAGUUGAGAAUAAGACUUGUUGAUGCUAUAUAUUAUGGAGUUGUUGGGGUUCACCACGUUGGUCUGCUCUGCAAGAACUUAGAACGGUCACUGGAGUUUUACCAGAACAUUUUAGGACUUGAGAUCAACGAGG